UAGGGAAUCUUCCGCAAUGGACGCAAGUCUGACGGAGCAACGCCGCGUGAGUGAAGAAGGAUUUCGGUUCGUAAAACUCUGUUGUUAGAGAAGAACAGCGCAUAGAGUAACUGUUAUGCGUGUGACGGUAUCUAACCAGAAAGCCACGGCUAACUACGUGCCAGCAGCCGCGGUAAUACGUAGGUGGCAAGCGUUGUCCGGAUUUAUUGGGCGUAAAGCGAGCGCAGGCGGUCAAUUAAGUCUGAUGGGAAAGCCCCCGGCUCAACCGGGGAGGGUCAUUGGAAACUGGUUGACUUGAGUGCAGAAGAGGAGAGUGGAAUUCCAGGUGUAGCGGUGAAAUGCGUAGAUAUAUGGAGGAACACCAGUGGCGAAGGCGACUCUCUGGUCUGUAACUGACGCUGAGGUUCGAAAGCGUGGGUAGCAAACAGG
rnacentral:rRNA from 1 species